rnacentral:tRNA from 1 species
CUGGGGCGAGGGAGCUGGUUGACCCGCCGCGCUUGGGACGCGGAGACACGCGGUUCGAUUCCGUGGCCUCAGAC